rnacentral:rRNA from 1 species
AUGAUCGACGGUAUGCCUCGGAUUUAUUCUAACAGAAACACAGAGCACGAACAGGACGAGAGAGAAGGUAAGAUGGCAGGGAUGAACCUGCACAACAUCGCCUCUGCACUUGUUCGUUUCAUCCGACGAGAAAUCCAUCGAUCUGAGAGACGACAAAGGGCUGGAGUUUAUCACCCUUGGGGCCCAGGAAAUGGCCGCCAUGGUCGUCGUGGCCGCCGUGGUCGUGGUAGUGGUCAGGAUUACCCUGGCCCUGCCGCGGCAGAUCAGGCAGGACCAGGCAACCCGCCCGCGGCCGUCCACCAUGCCUACCAGGCACCUCUGAUGCCGGCCUUCGUCGCUCCGUCAAUGGACUGGGCUCCCGCCGUGGCUGCAGCCCCAUUCCUGGGCGAGGAGGAGUUCUUCGACGCCGCUCAGGCCCCGCCACCGUCAGGGAUCUUCUUCGGCAACGGCAUGGAUGCAGGCGUGGCCUUCUGUCCGGUGCACGGAGACGGACCUUGCCCUGCCCGCGAUUUCUGCCCCGUGCACGGGUACGGGCCGUGCCCUCCACCGCCGGCCACUCCACCACCGGAACCGGAGGUCAUCGACGAGCCACUCGCCUACCCGGACCUCCCAACGCCGACGCCCGCUGACGAAGACGAGGAGCACUUCGCCCCUCCAGGCUAUGGCCCUGUGCCCGACAUGAUGGAGUGGGAGGUGACGCCGAACGAAGAGGAGGAGCAGUGGCUCAACUCCGUUGUGAAGCAGGAGCCAACCACGCCGGCGGAGACCGACGAACCCGGCGCCACCAUCCCCGACCUCAACACUGCCACCGGCCUGAAGAUCGAGGACGCGGUGUCGUCUUCCACGGCCCAAGCAUCUCCACCGCCUCCACCCCCGGCAAGCCCGCGAACGCCUCCACCGGCGACUCGCCGGAUCCUUCUCCGUUUCGCGGCGGCGCUGGAGCAGCACCGUCCCGGCCUCCGCUCCGGCUCCUGGGCCCCUGCAGGCCUCCACCUCCCCGGCUAUGCUGCGGGGGGGCCGUCCUCCUCCUGA